GAUGGGGAGGGGAGCCCCUCAGCCAACCCACAGAGAGAUGAGCAAAGUCCACCAGAACUGCUGGGAGUCAUGAACUACCUGAAAGGGGAUUGCAGUCCUGAGGAGGGGAGGAGGCAAGAAUUUCCACAGGGGAAAAAGGGUCCUUUCUUUUUAUUGAUCAAAGCUCUCCAGGUGGAUAAGAGAGCAUCAGAACAAGCAGGAUGUGGCCAAUUAAUCCAAAUACAAGGUCUCCUGCAAUUCCAUGACUUCAGGGUGCUACAGUUUCCUUUGCUGCUGAGUGAAAGUAAACCUAAUGUUCCUGCAUUGGACAGAUGGCUUAAGAACCUGUGCAAAGUCUUAGCCACGAGAAAGAAAAAAAUGACUAGCUGUUAAGGAUGCUACACAUGACAGGUAUCUGAAUGCAGAGCUUCUUUCCAUCACCCUUGCUUGGGGAGCUGGAUUAGCCCAGCCUCUUGAAAAUACUUGAAGCUAAUGUGCUUGAAGAACUUUCAUCCUCCUUCAAGGCGACCUGUGAAGGAUUGUUUAAAAGGAGAUGGCUGCCCCUUUAUAGCCUUUUCUGUGAGUAGUAAAUAGGGUCAGACAGGUGUUUUGUUUUUUUUUAUUUCCAUUUUUUAAAGGUUGGCAACUCAUAUUUGUGAAAUGGAUGCCACAUUCUUCUGCAGUAUUGACACUGUAAAGAAUGUACAGCUGGAGUUGUUCUGAAAGACACUGCACUUUGAUACACACACAAAGGGCCAGAUUUUAUUUCAUGUAUUAGGUGUCCAAGUUGAUCUUAUUCUACCUUGUUGGAAUCCUUGAAAAACAGUCAAUGCAGAAAGGAGAACAGGGUGGCACCUUAGAGAAUAAUUGGAUGGAGAGGCAGGGGCCUUUGUAGGCAACAAACUGUUUCAUCAGAUGCUAUGAAUGGACUAGCAGAAAUAAAAGUUUUUUAUACAGAAGGCAAAGGACCAGGGGAAAGGGAUGCUACUAAGAGAUGUAACAAGUGGGCUACUUAGAUCAAUAGAGAUGAACAAGGCAGAUAAUACAUGCAGGGACCUGGAGUAAAUAGCUAUUCUGGUAAUGGGAUAAGAAUCCAUAAUUUCUGUUGAUAUCAUAGUUAAAAUAAUCCAGUCUGUGGGCAGACAGGACCUGGUUAACCACCUCUGUGCAAAAGGUGGAUGCAUCCGCCUCUUCCUUAUUGCUUUUCAUGAUUUAUUCCUAAGGCUAAAAUAAUGGCAUACUACUAAAGGAGAUGCAUUAAUAUAAUUUAAGGACUUGAGCAUGGUGGAAUAGAAUCAUUCUUCAGCACCUAAAUCAAAUAGGACUAGCCCAAUGUCUUCUCAAAGAUGAUGCAUGCCUAUCUCCCCAUUUUUAAUCCAAAAUGACCAAUUAAGACGUCUGGGUGCCAAGAUUUGACGUGCGUAUUAUAAAACUUCAUUUGUAUACAGAGAUGUGUGUGGUGGAUUUGUUUCAGCAAAUGACUCAAUUGCAAAGGCAAUAUGAGUUGUUGUUAUUAUUGUAACAGCUGCUGCUGGAUUUGCAGCAGGGCUCAGGAUCCCUACAAGGGCAGAGCGGGAAAGUUUGUAGAAAGUUGCAUAAAGUUGUUGCUUGUAAGAGCAUAUGCAUGUUUUUGAUUGGCUCCUGAGGCAGGAGAGGGGAGGGAACUCAGCCAGGCUCAGAGAAGGGAAGGAGCCCCAGGACCACAGAGCUUGGGGAAGAAGUACCCUGCAGCCUGCCUGUGAAGUGAACCUGCCCUUAGUGAAGGGAGAAGACACCCUGAUAUCUUUUUUCCCUCUGUGAGGCAGAGGGACCUGUGAUGAGGAAAAAGGGUGAUACCACAGACAGGUGGAGCAGAAGAGAGCUGCUCUUCCCCAUGCAAGCUCUAGCAGAGAGCAGGUCUUUCUGGAGCAGCAGCAGCAGCUGUGGCUAUUGUGCUGCCAGUGUGAAGGAGAGCUGAUGUCUUGUUAACCCUGGGUGCUCCUGCUGAAAUUUACUGGAGUCUCAAGGUUUAAGCUGGGGACUUCAUUAAGUUUGUACUGAGGGUGUCUUUGAUUCAAUUUGUAUAGGGUGUUUUAGUUCAUUGAUACCUGCCUUUGACAAUUAUUGAUAUCCUGUUCUGCUGUUAACCUCGUUCAUAUGUUGACUGUUUUGUAAAUAAUAAACUGUGGAAAUAGUU